rnacentral:rRNA from 1 species
GGGCGCAAGCCUGAUCCAGCCAUACCGCGUGGGUGAAGAAGGCCUUCGGGUUGUAAAGCCCUUUUGUACGGAAAGAAAGCUUCCAGGUUAAUACCCUGGGAGGAUGACGGUACCGUGAAGAUAAGCACCGGCUAACUUCGUGCCAGCAGCCGCGAUAAUA